rnacentral:rRNA from 1 species
GGAUAGCCUCGGGAAACCGGGAUUAAAACCUCAUAAAGCGAUAGAAUCACAUGAUUUGUCGCCAAAGAUUUAUCGGAUAGGGAUGGGCCUGCGUCUGAUUAGUUAGUUGGUGAGGUAACGGCUCACCAAGACAGCGAUCAGUAGCCGACCUGAGAGGGUAACCGGCCACAUUGGAACUGAGACACGGUCCAAACUCCUACGGGAGGCAGCAGUGGGGAAUAUUGCACAAUGGGCGAAAGCCUGAUGCAGCAACGCCGCGUGAGCGAAGAAGGUCCUAUGGAUCGUAAAGCUCUGUCCUUGGGGAAGAAAAAAAUGACGGUACCCAGGGAGGAAGCCCCGGCUAACUACGUGCCAGCAGCCGCGGUAAUACGUAGGGGGCAAGCGUUAUCCGGAAUUAUUGGGCGUAAAGGGUGCGUAGGUGGCCAGGUAAGCGCGGGGUGAAAGGCAAUAGCUUAACUAUUGUAAGCCUUGCGAACUGUCUGGCUUGAGUGCAGGAGAGGAAAGUGGAAUUCCUAGUGUAGCGGUGAAAUGCGUAGAUAUUAGGAGGAACACCAGUGGCGAAGGCGACUUUCUGGACUGUAACUGACACUGAGGCACGAAAGCGUGGGGAGCAAACAGGAUUAGAUACCCUGGUAGUCCACGCCGUAAACGAUGAGUACUAGGUGUCGGGGUCGCAAGGCUUCGGUGCAGCAGUUAACGCAUUAAGUACUCCGCCUGGGGAGUAC